rnacentral:rRNA from 1 species
CGCGUAUGCGGGUUUGUAAGUCAGAGGUGAAAUCCUACAGCUUAACUGUAGAACUGCCUUUGAUACUGCAGAUCUUGAGUUUGGAAGAGAGAGACGGAAUUCCAGGUGUAGUGGUGAAAUACGUAGAUAUCUGGAAGAACACCAGUGGCGAAGGCGGUCUCUUGGUCCAAUACUGACGCUGAGGCGCGAAAGCGUGGGGAGCAAACAGGAUUAGAUACCCUGGUAGUCC